GCAAAUGAUGAUCUGAUUAUUCUUCACUUUGACCUGACUUACUAGUGAUGAAAACCUUCAACCUGAGC